GGGAAAAAUGGAGACAAUCUAACUGUAUAUGAGAAGAAUGAGUAAUAAACUGUGGCUUAGUCAUUCAAUGGAAUACUACAUCUAGUUCAACUGAAUGAAAAUAAUCUCCAUGGAUCAACUUGGACCUCCCAGGCCCUGGCGUGAAGGUGGCACUGUGACUAGCUCUUGCCGAUGGAAUGGGAGGAGUCAGUUAGAAAUUUUCAUAUGGUCAAAAUACCCAUGGAAUAUAUGAGUGGCAGCAGUAAACAAUCCUUGAAGUUCUUGCUUGUUUAACUUGACUGUUGGUGAUGCCCAAUGAGGCCCUGUCUGCUCCAAGCAAAUUACAUAAAAAAGAUGUGAAUAAAAACUCAUCAAAUACUAACAGAGCCUGUCUUGGAUGUUGAAGAUGAUUCAACCAGGAUGGCAAUAAUGUCAGAGAUCUCAGGCUGACCACUCAGUGGGACUCCCAGCACCCUCCACCCCCAGAAGGUUCAGGAGUACAUGUGAAGUCAACUCCUCACUUUUAAAUGCUGCAAAGUGAGCAAACAUUGACUAGUGUGGCCAGACAUAGACAAUGGUGUAUUUACUGUGUCUAAGAUGCCAAUUGAAGACUGGAACAGCCAUAUGAGUGUGGGGUAUUCCUGGAAACCUGUUCUAGUAGGCACUGGAGAAGACACAGGAACCUCUCAAUACAGAAUAGACACACUUUGCACUCAGUAAUAAUGCACUAAUUGACGAAUAUAUUGACGGAGUGUUGGUUUGCUUCACAAU
rnacentral:lncRNA from 1 species